UGAGGCCAAUUGAAGUCUCCUCCCACCCCAGCUGUGGCCACUUUGCCCUCCCUGCUCAGUGCCCUUUAUAAGCAGAGCAGGAGGAGCCCAGCCCCAAGCUGGGCCCAUUGCGGGCCAAGGGAUCCUCCGCCUGGCAUCCCAGGAGGUUGGAUCCUCGAGGGUUUUGCUCUGGGUUCUGCGAUGGAGGCAAAGAUGGAGCAGGAGCACCAACUGGAGCUGGGCUGUCUGGAGGAGAGCCUAUGUUGGAGCUGCGUUAAGCUGCUCUAGGGCAGGCAGCGCUGCCAGGACCCUGCCGGACACCCGUACAGGCUGUGCCGUGCCCCUGCAGGAGUUUUUAUUGUCCUGUUGCAAGGAGGCUCUGGGUGCAGCUCAGAGCUGCCUUGCACCGUCUGAAGGGCUUCUCCAGGAAGGAGUCCUUCAGCCUGCUCUCAGCUCUCCUUCAGCUAUUGAAACGUAGCUCUAAGGUCUCCCUGGAGCCUUCUCUCCAGGCUGAGCAGCCACAGCUCUCUCAGGCUGCCUUCACAACAGAGCUUCUCCCAUCCUCUGCUCAUGUUUGUGGCUUGCUCUGGAACCCCUCCAGCAGGUCCCUGUCUCCCUUGUGUUGGGGGUGCCCCAGAGCUGGCCACAGCAGUCCAGGCUGAGGUCUCCCCAAAGCAGAGGGGCAGAUGGUUCACAAGCACAGACACAACAGGCUGCCCAACGACCUUCCCAUACUGCAGCUGCAGGUUUCAGUCGGAUCCUUUUAGUAUCAAAGCUGAGAGUUGAGGGCUAAGGCACCAGCAGCACUGUCCUUCAAGCCAGAGAAACAAACACCAAAUGAAAUGAGACUUCUCUUAACUGCAGUUCAAUUGCCCAAGCCAAGCACUAGGACAACAACCAUGCAGAUGAAUGGGAUGACUUGAAAAGCCUUAACAGCUUGAUGAGGCUACUCCAACACAGUGACCAGUUACAAACUGCUUCCCUGUGGAAGCAUUUUCGCUUCUAAUGUUCUCCAAGCACCUGAUUUUUCACGCAGACCCUUUCCUCUGUGGCCCCAAAGGUAUUCAUUAAUUAAAGGAAGAUCUUUGCUUUUCAGGAAGAACAAUAAGAGAGAUUCAUUGGUCUAAAAAAUCCUUGAAGCUUUCCUCUUGGAUUGUUGAAAUGAGCUGUAAUGAAUGCCAAGUUUCUGGCCAGGUGAGCUGAGUUAAAGGCAAGUGUUGAUGAACACAGACAAAUGACAAAGCUGCUCACAAAAUGUGCCUUAGCUGAAAGUGCAAAGUGAUGCCUAUGUCUGUUUGUUCCCUCCAAUGGCUUGGGCUGCAGCUCUGUUGAGCCCUGGGUUUAAUCCUUCCUGGCCUUUUCCACCUGUGAAAGCCUUCAGCUUAGCCUGCAGCUCCUUCUGGUCACAUCUCCAAAGCAGAGGGAAGCCUCAGGGUAAGAAAUGCUGGCAGCA